rnacentral:lncRNA from 1 species
GCUUUAAAAAAUUAAAAAUUGUAUUUAAGGAAUAAAUUAAAAUAAAAAUUACAUGAAUUGGAUAAAAUAAAAUAGCCUCUGUAAGAGAAAGUAUAUAGAUUUAAGAGGGGGGGGAAUCCAGUACGAAACUCAAAUGAACUACCAGCACUCAUUUUGACAACUCAAAACCAUCAGUUCAAAUUCAAAUCGGUGGCUGGUACAAAUUACCAAGAAGAUCACGAGCGUAGCAAGAAGAUAUUAGGACCUCUCUACGGAUGAUGGAGCAGAAACUCUAAGGCAAUAGAUUGGAUUUAGUAUAAUGUUGGAUUGAUGUAUUUUGUUCCAGUUGCCUAUCCUGUGGUUCAUUUGUGCGAUGACAGGGCUAUUCUCUCGUCCUCAUUGACAGCUGAGACCAGUCUGGAGGAUCAGUUCAUUUUACGUCAAGGAGUAUAUCGGGAAAUUCGUAGUAUCAUCGUUGAGAACGAUUUUGAGUCACUAUCUGCUCCUCUCACCCCACAAAACACAGCUCAUCUCCUUCUGGGCUUCAAGAGCGUCGAAAAUAGACUUAGUCAGGUAAAAAACCGUAUUUACUAAAUUUCAGUAAGAGUUUUCAUGCAACCGAGCACAUAGAUCGUCGUUCCUCUGACGUAAGGGCGUAUCUUGAUUCCCACGUGAGCCCCAGAAAUCCUGGAUUUAUAUGGAAAGUGGGGCUCACGUGAAAAUUGAGAUACGCCCAUAGGCCAGAGAAGCGACGAUAUUUUGUAGGAGCCGUUAAUUUUGCAGCCAGUUUUAUAUCGGAAAGAUGACUUAUUAUGCAUCACCCUACUUAUAUACCCUCAGAAGGUUCGAUUAUACACAGAGAGAAAUUUCAACACAAAAAUUUGGUUAAUACGCGAAGUAAAACACAAAUUAAUCCAAACCUUCGGUCGACAAUUUCGAGAGAAAAUACUAGCUAGUUUUCUUGCGAGGAAAUUUAGUAAAAACGAGUGGUGAAUACUUACGUCGCAAUCGGCGGAAUGCAUCUUACCUGUCUCUCCAUUGUUUAAUAUUUUCUUUUAUACCUACUUUAUUUCUUCAAGAGAGUAUAUUCUAAUAAAAUUAUUAAUGCAAUUUUCAAGGAGGUAUACAUAUAGGUAGUGCUAUUUGACAUUCUCAUUAAGGAAGGCCUAAAAAUCAAU